rnacentral:tRNA from 1 species
GCCUCGGUAACUCAGCCUGGUAGAUAUUGAAAAAUAGCUGAAAGUGGCAGCCUCGUAAGCUGUUAGCCGAGGGUUCAAAUCCCUCCCGAGGCU